rnacentral:lncRNA from 1 species
AAAGAAGAAACAACUCCUCCAACGGCAACAUCUGUGGGGCUGCUUUUGAACUAUCAGCAAUUCAUUUGAGCAAGAGCUGGGAGCAUUUUUCCCCUGGGCCUGAUCAUGAGGAAGUGUUUGCCCCUCUGGAGGACACAGCAACAAGGACCAUCUUGGAAGCAGAGACCUGGCCCUCACCAGACACCAUACCUGCCGGCACCUUGAUCUUGAACUUCUCAGCCUCCAGAAGUCAGUGAAAGUGCAACGACUAAAAGGGAAUGGAGUGACACAGACAAGUGUCUACAAGAGACCCUGGGGCUGCUACUCCAAAUGCUGUCACUUUGCAAGGUUACUGGGUAGAACUUCAAUCUUACUACUCACCUGCUCAACAACCUGCAAUGGCUCCCUAUUGUUGCCUUUCCCAACAAGGCCUCAUUUCAUGGAUGAUUUUCCAUCGUCUGGCCCUAUCCUAAAAGAGAGUGGAGCCUCUUGCUCAGAGUCAGGCUUUGGUCUCAACUGCCUUGUUUCACAUUCUCACUAUGCCAGUCCCCAGCUGGGUGAUGAUGAGUAAGUUACUUAGCCUCUCUGGGCACUGGCUUCCUUACUUAUUAAAUGUAGAUAAUAUUAGGUUGGUGCAAAGUAACUGCAGCUUUUCCCAUUAAAAGUAAUAAUAUCUCACUUAUAAAA